GGAGCUUGCUUUAUAUAACUUAGCAGCGAACCGUUUGAGUAACACGUAGAUAAUCUAUCCUAUACUGGGGGAUAGCCCGAUGAAAGUUGGAUUAAUACCGCAUAUAGCUAUAUAGUUGCAUGAUUAUGUAGUGAAAGAUUUAUUGGUAUAGGAGGAGUCUGCGGCACAUUAGCUAGUAGGUGAGGUAAAGGCUUACCUAGGCGACGAUGUGUAGCCGGUCUGAGAGGAUGAACGGCCACAAUGGAACUGAGACACGGUCCAUACUCCUACGGGAGGCAGCAGUGGGGAAUAUUGCACAAUGGGGGAAACCCUGAUGCAGCAACGCCGCGUGAGUGAAGAAGGUUUUCGGAUUGUAAAGCUCUGUUAGCAGGGAAGAGGAAGGACGGUACCUGCAGAGGAAGCCACGGCUAACUACGUGCCAGCAGCCGCGGUAAUACGUAGGUGGCAAGCGUUGUUCGGAAUAACUGGGCGUAAAGGAUGCGUAGGCGGUUAAACAAGUUAUAUGUUAAAUAUAUAGGCUUAACCUGUAGAAAGCAUAUAAAACUGUUUAACUAGAGUGCAGGAGAGGUAAGUGGAAUUCCUAGUGUAGCGGUGAAAUGCGUAGAGAUUAGGAAGAACACCAGUGGCGAAGGCGACUUACUGGACUGUAACUGACGCUGAGGCAUGAGAGCAUGGGGAGCAAACAGGAUUAGAUACCCUGGUAGUCCAUGCUGUAAACGAUGGGUACUAGGUGUGGGUUGUGAAUAACAAUUCGUGCCGUCGCAAACGCAAUAAGUACCCCGCC
rnacentral:rRNA from 1 species